GACGAACGCUGGCGGCGUGCUUAACACAUGCAAGUCGAACGGUAAGGCCCUUCGGGGUACACGAGUGGCGAACGGGUGAGUAACACGUGGGUGAUCUGCCCUGCACUUCGGGAUAAGCCUGGGAAACUGGGUCUAAUACCGGAUAGGACCAAUGCCUGCAUGGGUGGUGGUGGAAAGCUUUUGCGGUGUGGGAUGGGCCCGCGGCCUAUUAGCUUGUUGGUGGGGUGAUGGCCGACCCAGGCGACGACGGGUAGCCGGCCUGAGAGGGUGACCGGCCACACUGGGAAUGAGAUACGGCCCAGACUCCUACGGGAGGAAGCAGUGGGGAAUAUUGCGCAAUGGGCGCAAGCCUGAUGCAGCGACGCCGCGUGAGGGAUGACGGCCUUCGGGGUGUAAACCUCUUUCGGCACCGACGAAGCGCAAGUGACGGUAGGUGCAGAAGAAGGACCGGCCAACUACGUGCCAGCCGCCGCAGUAA
rnacentral:rRNA from 1 species